rnacentral:rRNA from 1 species
ACGGGUGAGUAACACGUGACUAACCUACCUUCGAGUGGGGAAUAACCUCGGGAAACCGGGGCUAAUACCGCAUAAUCUUCGGCAAAGGAGCGCUGGAAGAGGGGGUCGCGGCCGAUUAGCUAGUUGGUGGGGUAACGGCCCACCAAGGCAAUGAUCGGUAGCCGGCCUGAGAGGGCGCACGGCCUCACUGGAACUGAGACGGUCCAGACUCCUACGGGAGGCAGCAGUGGGGAAUUUUGCGCAAUGGGGGAAACCCUGACGCAGCAACGCCGCGUGGAGGAUGAAGCCCCUUGGGGUGUAAACUCCUUUCGAUCGGGACGAUUGACGGUACCGGAUGAAGAAGCACCGGCUAACUCUGUGCCAGCAGCCGCGGUAAUACAGAGGGUGCAAGCGUUGUUCGGAAUUAUUGGGCGUAAAGGGUGCGUAGGCGGUGCGGUAAGUCUGUUGUGAAAUCUCCGGGCUCAACUCGGAGCCUGCAACGGAAAC